CCUUGAUAGCGUAGGGAGGCUCCUCGAAAGUGACCAGCAUGUACCUGUCUCCCCUGCUGGCCGGGUCCCGGGCUCGGAGCUGCGGCGCGGGGGACAAAGCAGAGGUGACACCCCAUGCACAGUCCAAAUGAGCCAGUUAUACCUUUUCUUCUGAGUCAAGAUGAAUGAUUUCAGUAAGCUUCUGGCUGGAAGAACACUCUUGCUGUCCUCAUGAUGCAAAUAUUCCACCUACUUCCAUACAGGUUUGUAUUUCUUGUACAGGCAUGAGGAAGCAUGAAUGUAUGUAUAUCUAUGUCUAAGAAUAUUUUUUUUCUCAUCUUCGGAGAAUAGGUGUUGUCCAUUUGGGGAUAAAUAAGGUGGUAUUGAAGGUGCAGAUUUAUUUUACAUUUGAAUGCUAAGUCAAUAAACCAAAAAUCAAACAUAAGUGUAAAAAUAUACCUAAAAAACUCCAUCAUAUGAAAAGAGCUGAAGAACAUUUUUCUGUCAUUUGCUGUUACUGUGUUUUUCCUUAAAUAGCUUCUUCUCCAAGUUGAUGUUUUUUAAGAUUUUUGUUGUAUUAUCACAUAGCAUUGGCCUUAUUUUGUCCUAAACUUCAGGCUUGAAUGGAAGAUGUUGUGUUAAUCACCUUCCAGUUCUGAGAACUAAAACUGAUAACCUGUUUUUUAAUUGUCUUUCUCCUCAAUAUGGAAUUAUUUUCAUAAAGUAAAUUUCCAUAUUUUAGUCAGUCCAGGUCCUAAUGAUACAGGGAAAUUUUU